rnacentral:rRNA from 1 species
GGGUGACGGAGAAUUAGGGUUCGAUUCCGGAGAGGGAGCCUGAGAAACGGCUACCACAUCCAAGGAUGGCAGCAGGCGCGCAAAUUACCCAAUCCCGACACGGGGAGGUAGUGACAAUAAAUAACAAUACGGGGUUCUUUCGGAUCUCGUAAUUGGAAUGAGUACAAUUUAAAUCUCUUAACGAGGAACAAUUGGAGGGCAAGUCUGGUGCCAGCAGCCGCGGUAAUUCCAGCUCCAAUAGCGUAUAUUAAAGUUGUUGCAGUUAAAAAGCUCGUAGUUGAAUUUCGGGGUUAGUAGGUUGGUCAUGCCUCUGGUAUGUACUGGUCUCACUGAUUCCUCCUUCCUGAUGAACCGUAAUGCCAUUAAUUUGGUGUUUCGGGGAAUUUGGACUGUUACUUUGAAAAAAUUAGAGUGUUUAAAGCAAGCUAACGCUUGAAUACAUUAGCAUGGAAUAAUGAAAUAGGACGUUCGAUCCUAUUUUGUUGGUUUCUAGGAUUGACGUAAUGAUUAAUAGGGAUAGUUGGGGGCAUUAGUAUUCAAUUGUCAGAGGUGAAAUUCUUGGAUUUAUUGAAGACUGACUACUGCGAAAGCAUUUGCCAAGGAUGUUUUCAUUAAUCAAGAACGAAAGUUAGGGGAUCGAAGACGAUCAGAUACC